rnacentral:rRNA from 1 species
AACGAACGCUGGCGGCAGGCCUAACACAUGCAAGUCGAGCGAACCCUUCGGGGUUAGCGGCGGACGGGUGAGUAACGCGUGGGAACGUGCCCUUUGCUACGGAAUAGCCCCGGGAAACUGGGAGUAAUACCGUAUGUGCCCUUCGGGGGAAAGAUUUAUCGGCAAAGGAUCGGCCCGCGUUGGAUUAGGUAGUUGGUGGGGUAAUGGCCUACCAAGCCGACGAUCCAUAGCUGGUUUGAGAGGAUGAUCAGCCACACUGGGACUGAGACACGGCCCAGACUCCUACGGGAGGCAGCAGUGGGGAAUCUUAGACAAUGGGCGCAAGCCUGAUCUAGCCAUGCCGCGUGAUCGAUGAAGGCCUUAGGGUUGUAAAGAUCUUUCAGUGGGGAAGAUAAUGACUGUACCCACAGAAGAAGCCCCGGCUAACUCCGUG